UAUUAUUUUAUACUAUUUGAUGAAAUUGUCAGAGAUGCUAAAAUAUUUCCCAUCCACAUAAGGUUUGCACUGUUGGUCAUACUUGGAAACAAAGCAGAUGGCCCAUGUAAUGUUAUUCGAGGCACCAUUGAUGUGUUACCACUUUGGCAACACUUAGUGAAUAUGACGAAAAAUGCCAUGUUUUGUAGUUUUUUUCGGGGAGUGCUGCUUUUUUACAUUCCCCAUGGAUACAUUUGCAGUUUUUAAUUCUGUGAUACUGAAAAUUUGAAACUUCUUGGCUUAUUGCCUAUUUUUUCUCUUACAGUUGCGAAUAACAUUACAGGAGAGUUGCUCUCAACCUUCUGCAGGCUGACAAAUAAGACAGGGUGAUAGAGAGACCAGCCCGAGGUCUUUUUUGGCUUUGUCGCGGAGGCCAAAUAUGGAUUCAAGAAGAAUACACUGAUUCCCCCUUGGACGAUGAAGCACGCUUGGCUCUUUCUUCACCAAAGGACAACAACUCAUCAUCUUUUCCCGCAACAAUGAGGACACCAAUGCAAAGCACUAAUGGCUGGGAUACCAUGGAACAUCAACACUACCGGUUUUACCAUGCUACUUUGCUACUUCCUGCAAGCUUUGAUAGCCAAGAAUAUGUCUACUUCUGUUCAAGUAGAAACUCGUGUCUUUUCCAUGUAUCCUAUAUGUAAAAUGAUCCCAUGAACUAUGUUGUCAGAUCUAAUCCCUUCAAAGUGUUGUCAGAUCUAAUUGUAUCUACUACUACUAUCUUAAGGAUUAAA